rnacentral:tRNA from 1 species
AAAAAGGUAAGCUAAGUUUAAGCUAAUGGGCUCAUACCCCAUAAAUAGGAUAA